rnacentral:rRNA from 1 species
GCAAGUCGAACGAGAAAGCUUUAGCUUGCUAAAGUGAGUAAAGUGGCGCACGGGUGAGUAACGCGUGGGUAAUCUGCCUUUGAAUUUGGGAUAACACUUCGAAAGGGGUGCUAAUACCGGAUAACAUCUGUUUACCUAAGGUUAAACAGAUCAAAGAUAGCCUCUACAUGUAAGCUAUUGUUUGGAGAUGAGCCUGCGUACCAUUAGCUUGUUGGUAGGGUAAUGGCCUACCAAGGCGACGAUGGUUAGCUGGUCUGAGAGGAUGAGC